UAAAUAUCACAAUGCACACUCACUCUGAGUCUUCCUCUUCCUAUAUAGCGCAAUAAACCCUAUUUUUGCUUGCUCUUGCUCUCAAACCUUAUCCGUUAACCACCAUAACCAUGUCUACCUCUGCGGCUUCUCUUGCACUUCCCACUCUCACUCUCCGAACCCGACAACCUCUGUGUUCUCCCCAAUGUUUCUCUUCUUCACUUUCCCUAACACCUAACUCCAGACCCAUCUCCAUUUCCACUGUUUUUGUUCCACCAAUGUUGUCGUUCUCGUCUCGUUUUGUUCCUCGUGUGGCUGUUUCCUCGGAGUUCGACCAGGAAGAGGAUGUCCUCAGCGAUGGAGAUAGCCCUAGCUUCGCCCCUGACCUUAAACUCUUCGUGGGUAAUCUCCCUUUCAGCGUUGACAGUGCUCAACUAGCCGAGCUCUUCGAAAACGCUGGGAAUGUGGAGAUGGUUGAGGUGAUUUAUGAUAAAACGACUGGGAGAAGCAGAGGGUUUGGUUUUGUGACCAUGUCUUCUCCUGAGGAAGUUGAAGCAGCUGCUCAUCAGUUCAAUGGUUAUGAAAUGGAGGGAAGGGCUUUGAGAGUAAAUUCUGGACCACCUCCUGCUCGGAAUGAGAAUUCCCCUCGUUUCAGAGGUCCUUCCAGAGGUGGUGGUGGUCCUUCAGAUGAAAGCAACCGUGUUCAUGUAGGUAAUCUUGAUUGGGGUGUUGACAAUUUAACACUUGAGACAUUGUUUCGCGGAAAAGGAAAGGUCUUGGAAGCAAGGGUAAUCUAUGACAGAGAAAGUGGAAGAUCUAGAGGCUUUGGAUUUGUGACUUACAGUAGCCCUGAAGAGGUCAACAGUGCAAUUCAGUCCUUAGAUGGUGUUGACUUGAAUGGCAGAGCUAUACGAGUCUCGUUAGCAGAUUCUAAGCCCAAGCGGUUUUGAGGAUUAAAACUUUCGUCUAUACCUGAUCGAUAGAGGACUUUGGUACUUAGGAGCUAUACAACUGCAAGUCAUUGAUGUUUUUCAACAGCUUGGGAAAAUACACUACUACAUGCAGAGACUACAUCUACACAUAGCAGCAAUAUUUGACAAGCUUCUUUAUAGAGAAGAGUUGAUCAGUGUCUCUUGAAGUUUAAAUGUAUGCUCCAAAUUUGAUGGUUGUCAUUUGAAACUGAUUUGUAGUAUUUCACUGUAGAAGUAGAUGAAUCAUAUUUAUUGGUUACCCUAUUCCAACUUCCCAACAAUGUUGUGGUAGAAUUUUACAAUUACAAAUGAGCCUGGAAAAUUAUCAACCACAGAUUUUGUUUACGGUUCACUCGUUUGGUUGGAAGAGAUCAUGUUGAGGACUCAAGCUUGUUUUUCGUUGAGGCAGAGACAGCAUAGCUUUGCUGAAUCAAUUAGUCAUCUACGUAGUGUCUGGUGUGUGGACAUAGUUGGACCGUCUAUUUUGUUGGUUUCAACCGUUUCUAUGGAAUUACAGGCAUUGGUUUGUAAAUUAAUUUGUGGUUUGUUUUAUACUGUUUUUAAAGUAUACUAAACGUAUAAUAUAGUUAACAUGCCACGUAUUCACUU